CUUGACCGUGCCCAGGUGGAGGGGCCGCUCGGCGGUGUGCUCCCGCCCGUAGGUGGCGAGCAGCGCGUGUGCCUC
rnacentral:antisense_RNA from 1 species